rnacentral:rRNA from 1 species
GAUGAACGCUGGCGGCGUGCCUAAUACAUGCAAGUCGAGCGAACAGAUGAGGAGCUUGCUCCUCUGACGUUAGCGGCGGACGGGUGAGUAACACGUGGAUAACCUACCUAUAAGACUGUGAUAACUUCGGGAAACCGGAGCUAAUACCGGAUAAUAUAUUGAACCGCAUGGUUCAAUAGUGAAAGACGGUUUUGCUGUCACUUAUAGAUGGAUCCGCGCCGCAUUAGCUAGUUGGUAAGGUAACGGCUUACCAAGGCAACGAUGCGUAGCCGACCUGAGAGGGUGAUCAGCCACACUGGAACUGAGACACGGUCCAGACUCCUACGGGAGGCAGCAGUAGGGAAUCUUCCGCAAUGGGCGAAAGCCUGACGGAGCAACGCCGCGUGAGUGAUGAAGGUCUUCGGAUCGUAAAACUCUGUUAUUAGGGAAGAACAAAUGUGUAAGUAACUAUGCACGUCUUGACGGUACCUAAUCAGAAAGCCACGGCUAACUACGUG